rnacentral:rRNA from 1 species
UUGGAAAGAUUUUUCGGUCUGUGAUGGGCUCGCGGCCUAUCAGCUUGUUGGUGAGGUAAUGGCUCACCAAGGCGUCCACGGGUAGCCGGCCUGAGAGGGUGACCGGCCACACUGGGACUGAUACACGGCCCAGACUCCUACGGGAGGCAGCAGUGGGGAAUAUUGCACAAUGGGCGGAAGCCUGAUGCAUCAACGCCGCGUGAGGGAUGACGGUCUUCGGGUUGUAAACCUCUUUUAGCUCUGAAGAAGCGUGAGUGACGGUACCUGCAGAACUGGUGCCGGCUAACUACGUGCCAACAGCCGCGGUAAUACGUAAGGCGCAAGCGUUAUCCGGAAUUAUUGUACGUAGAGAGCUCGUACGCGGUUUGUCGCGUCUGCUGUGAAAUCCCGAGGCUCAACCUCUGUGCUGCAGUGGGUACGGGCUGACUAGAGUGCGGUAGGUGAGAUUGGAAUUCCUGGUGUAGCGGUGAAGUGCGCGGAUAUCCGGAGGAACACCGAUGGUGAAUGCAGAUCUCUGGGCCGUAACUGACGCUGAGGAGCUAUAUGGUGGGUAGCAGACACUGUUAGAUACCACUGGUAGUCC